GGCGGUCCGGCCUGGCCGCGACUCUGCCCUUCUUUCCAGGUACGCCUUCGUCAGGCCCGUCAUCCUGCAGGGACUCACGGACAACUCGAGGUUCCGGGCCCUGUGCUCCCGCGACAGGUUGCUGGCUUCGUUUGGGGACAGAGUGGUCCGGCUGAGCACCGCCAACACCUACUCCUACCACAAAGUGGACUUGCCCUUCCAGGAGUAUGUGGAGCAGCUGCUGCACCCCCAGGACCCCACCUCCCUGGGCAAUGGUGAGGCAGCCCUAGGCGGCGGUAGGGGGUGGGGACGCUUGGAGUCUCCAGGUGCCAGGAUCCCUGUCCCCGCCGUCUCUGUUGGCAGACACCCUGUACUUCUUCGGGGACAACAACUUCACCGAGUGGGCCUCUCUCUUUCGGCACUACUCCCCACCCCCAUUUGGCCUGCUGGGAACCGCUCCAGCUUACAGCUUUGGAAUCGCAGGAGCUGGCUCGGGGGUGCCCUUCCACUGGCAUGGACCCGGGUACUCAGAAGUGAUCUACGGUCGUAAGGUGCUGUACUUCCCCGACCGCUGGUGGCAUGCUACGCUCAACCUUGACACCAGCGUCUUCAUCUCCACCUUCCUCGGCUAGCCAAAACAGCUGGCAGGACUGCCGGUCACACACCAGCACGUCCCACCUCGUGCUCACGGAUUUUAUUACACAGAUAGUGGCGGCAAUGGCCUCAGCCCAGCCCACCCUCACCUGCUUUUCCAGCCCACAAAGGGGGACGAUCACGGCCCAGCAAAAGCGAUGCUGAGAGGGGAAACAGUCCAGAGUCCAACAGCAGAACUUGGGGGAAGCGGUCGGGGU
rnacentral:lncRNA from 1 species